UGGGGAAUUUUCCGCAAUGGGCGAAAGCCUGACGGAGCAAUGCCGCGUGGAGGAUGAAAGCCUGUGGGUCGUAAACUCCUUUUCUCAGAGAAGAAGAUCUGACGGUAUCUGAGGAAUAAGCAUCGGCUAACUCCGUGCCAGCAGCCGCGGUAAUACGGAGGAUGCAAGCGUUAUCCGGAAUGAUUGGGCGUAAAGCGUCUGUAGGUCGUUUCCUAAGUCUCCUGUCAAAGAUCAAGGCUUAACCUUGAAAAGGCAGUGAAAACUGGGAGGCUUGAGUACGGCAGAGGCGGAGGGAAUUCCCGGUGUAGCGGUGAAAUGCGUAGAGAUCGGGAAGAACACCAAAGGCGAAAGCACUCUGCUGGGCCGAAACUGACACUGAGAGACGAAAGCGAGGGGAGCAAAAGGGAUUAGAUACCCCUGUAGU
rnacentral:rRNA from 1 species